AGCAGCCGCGGUAAUUCCAGCUCCAAUAGCGUAUAUUAAAGUUGUUGCAGUUAAAAAGCUCGUAGUUGAAUUUCGGGAUCAAAUUGUCGGUCGUGCCUCGGUACGCACUGGUAUUAUUGGUUCCUACCUUCUGAAGAACCGCGAUGUCAUUAAUUUGGUGUCGUGGGGAAUCAGGACUGUUACUUUGAAAAAAUUAGAGUGUUUAAAGCAGGCUUACGCUUGAAUACAUUAGCAUGGAAUAAUGAAAUAGGACGUUUGAUUCUAUUUUGUUGGUUUCUAGGAUUGACGUAAUGAUUAAUAGGGAUAGUUGGGGGCAUUAGUAUUCAAUUGUCAGAGGUGAAAUUCUUGGAUUAUUGAAGACUAACUACUGCGAAAGCAUUUGCCAAGGAUGUUUUCAUUAAUCAAGAACGAAAGUUAGGGGAUCGAAGACGAUCAGAUACCGUCGUAGUCUUAACCAUAAACUAUGCCGACUAGGGAUCGGAUGAUGUUAAUUUUUUAAUGACUCAUUCGGCGCCUUACG
rnacentral:rRNA from 1 species